UCAGUAGCACGUGGCUAACCUGCCCUUGGGACGGGGACACCCCCGGGAAACUGGGGUUAAUCCCCGAUAGGCGGAGAACUCUGGAAUGAAUCUCUACCCAAAAGGUACUUGCGCUAUGCUCGCAGGUUUCGCCCAAGGAUGGGGCCGCGACCGAUCAGGUUGUUGGUGAGGUAAUGGCUCACCAAGCCUUUUACCGGUGCGGGCCGUGAGAGCGGGAGCCCGGAGAUGGGCACUGAGACAAGGGCCCAGGCCCUACGGGGCGCAGCAGUCGCGAAAACUUUGCAAUACACGAAAGUGUGACAGGGCUAUCCCGAGUGCCAUCCGCUGAGGAAGGCUUUUACCCAGUUUAGAACGCUGGGAGAAUAAGGAGAGGGCAGACUGGUGUCACCCGCCGCGGUAA
rnacentral:rRNA from 1 species